rnacentral:misc_RNA from 1 species
GAUGAAGAACGCAGCGAAAUGCGAUAAGUAAUGUGAAUUGCAGAAUUCAGUGAAUCAUCGACUCUUUGAACGCACAUUGCGCCCGCCAGUAUUCUGGCGGGCAUGCCUGUUCGAGCGUCAUUUCAACCAUCAAGCCCCAGGCUUGUGUUGGGGACCUGCGGCUGCCGCAGGCCCUGAAAACCAGUGGCGGGCUCGCUGUCACACCGGGCGUAGUAGAUUUUAUCUCGCUCAGGGCGUGCUGCGGGUUCCGGCCGUUAAAAAGCCUUUUUUACCCAAGGUUGACCUCGGAUCAGGUAGGAAGACCCGCUGAACUUAAGCAUAUCAAUAAGCGGAGGA